GGAGUCUGGGCCGUGUCUCAGUCCCAAUGUGGCCGUCCACCCUCUCAGGCCGGCUAUGGAUCGUCGCCUUGGUGGGCCGUUGCCCCGCCAACCAGCUAAUCCAACGCGGAGCCAUCCUGUACCACCGGAGUUUUUCACACUGCUUCAUGCGAAGCUGUGCGCUUAUGCGGUAUUAUCAGUCGUUUCCAACUGCUAUCCCCCAGUAUAGGGCAGGUUUCCCACGCGUUACUCACCCGUCCGCCACUAAGUGAUUCAAAUGAGUCAAUCAAGUGCAAGCACUAUCAAUCCUCGGGAGAACCACUCCGUUCGACUUGCAUGUGUUAAGCACGCCGCCAGCGUUUAUC
rnacentral:rRNA from 1 species